rnacentral:rRNA from 1 species
GGCGCACGGGUGAGUAACGCGUAUGCAACCUACCUUUUACAGGAGUAUAGCCCAGAGAAAUUUGGAUUAAUCCUCUAUAAUAUCUUAUUCAUGCAUAUGAAAAAGAUUAAAGCUUCGGUGGUAAAAGAUGGGCAUGCGUUUUAUUAGCUAGUAGGUGAGGUAACGGCUCACCUAGGCCACGAUAAAUAGGGGCCCUGAGAGGGGGACCCCCCACACUGGUACUGAGACACGGACCAGACUCCUACGGGAGGCAGCAGUGAGGAAUAUUGGACAAUGGACGAAAGUCUGAUCCAGCCAUGCCGCGUGCAGGAUGACGGCCCUAUGGGUUGUAAACUGCUUUUAUACAGGAAGAAACACUCCCACGUGU